rnacentral:lncRNA from 1 species
CGUCGUGCCGGUACGUUUCGAAGAUCAAGGGGUGGCGCUGGAGGGACUUGGAGACUUUCCGGCCGCGGGGGAAGCCGAGCUCGCGUGGAGCUUGCCGGCGUCGUCGAGGCGGAGGACGCGGUGGGGCUGCUUCGAGAGGUAUUCUUUGGAUUUGGUGAGGAAUCGGAAGUGGGCGUCGCGAGUGACGAUGCGUUCGAGGUGGGGAGGAGGUUGGGUUGGGUCUGGACCAGCUUGGUUCGCGGGCUGUCUUGUUUCUGCGGCGCUUCUUGAAUUUCUUCGGGGUUUUGGUGAUGAGGAAGGAGGUGGAGAAUGGGGAGGUGAAGAGGAGAGUUUGAUUAGGGUUUAGGGUUUGGCUGUGGAGGAUGGUUUUGAGGUUUUGGGAGUCAGAAGAAGGCGCCACCAAGCC